rnacentral:lncRNA from 1 species
GAGGGUUAAACGAAGGUCAGUUUGAACAUUUAAAAUGUCUGAAAAUAAAAUGCACCAAUCAAUUCUAUUCGGAUGUGUGUGUGUGUUAAACAUCAUUUUAGCAUCCCAUCUAAGCCUAUUUGCUCGGUUUUUCUGCUUUGUUUUUUCUUGCACCUCAGGGUGAUGGCUUCAAUAGCUCGUUUGCACCAAGUAGUAACAGGCCACAGCGGGCGAAUCAACCUUUUGUCUGCCUCAUCAGACUCUUUGCCCCAUUGUCCCCCCUCAGAUCCCAUCAGUAUGGGGAAGGAGGCCCGGCCAAUGCUGGUGAAAACAGAAUCAUUCCUGUAACAGAGAGGGCCGUUCCUGCACUCAGGGUGUCCCUGUGACUUCUGGCUUCUCUGGACCCACGGUAGCAUUUGCUGGCGAUAGAAAAGCGGUUCUUGUUGGGUUAUUCUCACUGGUGCCUGCAGAGUCAUGAAAGCAGGGAGGACAGCGCCGUCCACCUCCUGCACACAGAAGUCUCAGCUGGAAGUGGCGGUCCCCGAGAGCCUGCGCUCCGCAGCUUGUUUUAGCCUUCAGAAAAAACGCUUUCUUUCUGUAGCUUAACUGCUUGGCCCACAGGGCAGCCAGCUGUUGUAUGCUGCUUGAGCAGAGGUCGUGGAGGGGUGAGUGAGCACAGGGAAACCUUUUAAUACAUAUUUUAUAUACUUCAGAUCACUAAUGGGAGCUACACAAACAGAUCCAUUUGAAUAUCUACCCCCUGGGGCUAUAUUUCUGUUUCGAGUUUUCUGGUAACAGCAAGGAUCAAAAACUAAGAUGGUUCUUUUAAACACACCUGAUUGACCAGAAAUAUGCAUAAAUAAGUAUUCUGCACUACUGUUGUAUAUUUUAUUAUUCUUAUUAUGUUUCCUUUUUGAAUUCUUUUUUAAGCUUUAUUGAGGUAUAAUUGACAAAUAAAAAUGUAUUUAACGUGUGCAACGUGAUAUUUUGAUAUAUGUAUACAUUGUAAAAUAAUCACCACAAUCAAGCUAAUUAGCAUUAAAUUGAUUUUACAUACUUUUGAUUCCAUAUAUUUUAAAUUAGACAAAAAAUUAGCCUUGGUUUUGAUAAAAGAAAAACUUCAGCUGGAUUAACUUUAAAGGCGUCUAAUUGAGUGAUGAACAAUUUGUGAAUCGGGCGGCCUUCUCAGCCAUGGUAAGCUCAGAGACCCCAGCGCAGCCAUGCGGGGGAAGAUUUAUGGAAAAAGGAACAUGAGGAACAGAAAACAGAAGUGAGGUACAGAAACAGCUGGAUGGGUGGCAGCUCGGCGUUUGCCUUCUGCGAACACGGUUUCAACGGCUGGCUACAUUUGAUUGGCCGAAACUCGGUGACUGGCACAGGUGUCGGCUACGGUCGGUUACGCCUCCACCUGUUAUCGUUCACGAGGUGCAGAAAAGCCUUUAGGCCGAACUUAAAUGUGUAAGGAGGCAGCUCAGGGCUAACCUUGAUUUAACAGUUUCACACAUGUCAACAAAAGUGUAAACAACAUGAUUUAAGCAAUAGAGAUGAGAGGUCAUCUCAGAAGAGAAAUGGCAUUUAUAAGAACCACUUGGCAUUAACUAUAUUUUUGUAGAAGAUGGCUUUUCUUAUGGUAUUAUUUUAAAAGUGUUCAAAUGAUAUCAAAGCUGCCAUUGUUAAAAGUAAAAAAAUCCUAAUGUGGAUACUUACAAAUGUCUAAUAUCCUAAUACUUCAAUAAUGUCCCAGUACUUUACUGUGUACCCCAAAUGUUAUGUGUCGUUUUAUAAAAUGAUUAUAUAAUCUUGCUGGGGUGUUCUUGUCACUCACCAUUACGGAAGAGAAAGCCGACUCGGAGAGGAGUGGCCAUUUGUCCUUCUUCACAGCAUUAAUAAAUAGUAGACCCAGGACCGAGAGGGCUGUUUUUAUAUCCCUGCAAUGUUUCGUAUGUUUGAAAUGUGUUGAUUGAAAAUGUUCUUCCUCUUUGAUGAAGAAGAGCCACAGUGACCGCCAAAGAAACCGAUUUAGAACAGUUUCUUCUAAAGCUUUCCGCUUGGACUUGACCGUGGGUGUGUCUGAAUGUUUCUGAGCCAGCUCCACACCAAGCCUGAAUGAGCCCAAGCAGGUCACGAAAUUGAAAGGACUAUAAAGCACCGUAUCAGAAAAGGAGGAGAAACCCAAGGCGUAUCCGUUAGUGGCUGCAUAUGCCAAUACGCACCAGUCCACGCUUUUCUGAGCCUGCCAGCAUCCGCAGCCUCUCCUGCUCGCAGAGGUUGUCAGACACCCCGGGCUUGGCUCAGUCCUGCUGCCCAGUUGGAAUCAAAUCUCAAGAGAGAGACAAACACUGUAAGGAGUAUGACCUUCUCCAGCAAGACAGCAAAGGUGCAAAGGAGAGAAGGAUGCUACAUAGCCCGUGUGUUUUAAAGAAAUGCAAAUAUUAAACGAGAAAAAAGGAGUAUUAGUUUUUUUAAAAAAUGGGAGUGUACAGAUAUGCAACAACAUGAGAAAACAACACAACACAAAACAACUUUGCUGGUUCUUCAAUUAAAAUGUACACAAUGGCUCUAAUGCAAAUGAUUGCCAUAUUGAAUUGGUCACGGAGUUGAAAUUAAAACUCAUGACUAGUGAUUUAUACAUUUUGCUUAAAUCACCAAAUACAAGCAACUCUUUGAAUUGAACUGUUUUAUCCCUUCUACUAUAAAUUCCUAAAUUAUACAAAUUCCUUCAUUUCCUUCUUCCUUCCCUUCCUUUCUCUUUUCCUUCCUCCCUUCUUUCCCCCCUCCCUCCCUCUCUCUCUCUCUUUCUUUCUUUCCUUCCUUCCUUCCUUCUUUCUUUUGUCUCUCUCUCUCUCCUUCUCCCUCUUUCCACUUAGCCAUGCUAUAAAUAGUAAGAGGUAAAAGAAAUAAAAACAGAAAUAAUUACAGGCCCAAAUGUAUUAUUAUCUUCAAAGGAAAUUACAAAGAGAAGAAACAAGAGGGAUUUCCCUCCAUCGUGUUUCUAUACACGCACGAUAUUCUAACUAAAGCAUGUUACAAGUGAUCUAUGUUAUUUUUACAAACCAAGUGAGUGGUUUAAAGAAAAUGGAAAGAUGUGUCCUCUAAGAAAACCACAGUUACGUGAGUGGUAAAUGGAAACAACGAGACUCUUACCUUCUAAGCUAUGGGGUCUGUUAGCUCUGCAUCCUGUAUCUCAGUGACUCAGGGCAGGUCACUAAGCCUCCUUGAGAACCUUGUUUUCAGUAUUCAUGGAAAAGGAGGGAAGUGACCCAGGCAAGGGUGUCGACUGUGAGGCAUAUUGCUUAUGUGCAGUUCUAUUAUUCUUGGUGUUAGAAAUCUGAACUCUCAUGUUUCAGUAACCGGAAAAUCUUCAGAAAAGACAUCCCCGGCGCCAUGGUUGUCAACAUGCUCAAACACCUCGUUAUAGCAUUCUUGCCCCUUACUGGUGCAACUUCUUGCUACUUUCCUGUAGUUCAGUGACAGAAGUUGGGGGUUAUUCUUGGUACCUUCUUGCAGAAUCUGCGACAUGGAUAAAAUUCUAUCUCUGCAUCUUACAGGUAUUAAAAUCCAGUUCCCUGCGUGCAUGCUCCAGUUUAAGUGGAUGGCUGAUUCUAUCCCGUCAUCCUGAACUUUGUAGCUUCCUUUAAGAGAUGAUAAAUUAGGGAACAAAAGGAUCUUCCUUUCCGUGACAGCAGCACUUUCGGGAGGCUGAGCAUGUACCUCUGACUCAAGGCUGAGUUAUUAUAAGAAAAACAGAAAAGGAAGGAAGAAGGUUUUAAUUUCCCACUGUUGAAGACAGUUUGUCAGGAUGAGAGACAGACAGACAGAGCGUGCACAGACCUGCACUUCUCUUCGGGGAUGAAUAGGGCAAGUGUUUCAUUCAUGACGUCUUCAAAGCGUUGCCCGGAAUGCAAAAUGACAUGGUUUUUCUGGAAUACUAGUCUGUUUGAAAGGCCAAGGAAAGGUGAUACAUUUUGAAUGCACAUUUGGGUGACUUCAGGGUCUCCUUCUAUAACCAGAAUGGAGAUGUCCCUGAAAGGCUGUCAACAGAGAAAAAAAGAAUUCUGGUUAAAAUUCCAUUAUUCCAGUUUUUUUUUUGUUGUUGUUGUUUUUUUUUUUUGCCUGCGUUGUGUAAUUGAAGAUGUCUUCCAAGCAGAAACAGACCCUUGUUUCAUGUGGAAAAAAAAAUACAUAGACUAAUAGACUACAGAGAAAUAGAGGUAAAAAGAAGAUUGCUGCCACUUCCCAGUUAAGGAAUGCGUUGCUUUCACCCACCGUGGUCCCUGCUGCCUGUGACUCCAACACAAGAAUCAAUCCAUCUGUCUUUCUGCCACCACAGACAUCUCCCUAAAUUGAUCUAAUCUUGUGUCUAUUCUUAAAAUUCUUCGGAUUGCUUCUUGUUAAUAGAUAAUUGAAGUUCAGUAGUACAGUCUUUCCAUCUCCCUUUCCUUCCUGAUUGUCAAAUCACUUUGACCCAAUAAAUCUCACUUAAUUUUUUAAUUGUA